rnacentral:rRNA from 1 species
UACGGAGGGUGCAAGCGUUAUCCGGAAUCAUUGGGUUUAAAGGGUCCGUAGGCGGGUAAUUAAGUCAGUGGUGAAAUGCAGGGGCUCAACUCCGGCACUGCCAUUGAUACUGGUUAUCUUGAAUUAUUGUGAAGUGGUUAGAAUAUGUAGUGUAGCGGUGAAAUGCUUAGAUAUUACAUAGAAUACCGAUUGCGAAGGCAGAUCACUAACAAUAUAUUGACGCUGAUGGACGAAAGCGUGGGGAGCGAACAGG